rnacentral:lncRNA from 1 species
AAAUGUUGAAGGGAAAAACCCCAAUUUGAGAGAUGAAGUGAAUUUACACCUGAUAGAGAUUUAAAGUUUAGAAGGCUCGAAGGAGCAUAAAAAAAUAUUGGUCAAACCCUAAAAAUAAACCAGAAUUUUGACUCUUUUUUUCUUUACAUAUUGAUGACUGAAAUUAGCAGAACAAGUAUCUUGCUUUGCAAUGCUGAAGGUCAUUUUUCUUAUUUAUAAUCAACUUCUUUUAAUUGAUGUAAUUUCUUGAUAAUAAUUGUUACUUUUCUCUUCUGUUUUAAGAGAAGUUUCAGCAAAUUUGGCUUGUUUUCCUUAUGAAAUCAGAUAGGAGCAGAGAUUUUGAAAUAUCAAAAUUGAGAUUGGAGUGUUCUGAGUUCAGCCAUAGAUAGAUAAAAAUAAGACAGCUUCCUGCUCUCUCUGUAGCAAAACGACUGAUGUCAUUUAGAUCAAGGAAGUAUCAAAAGUUCAACAUCAUUCCACUGAGUUUGCGUUAAAGGCAAGAUUCCUAUUUUCUAAAUGAUACUACGGAUCGCCAAUACGAUUCACAAAGAGCUGACUCAUACAAAAAUGUAACUAACACACAGUGUUUUCUAUCAGAUCUUCUUGAGGAUCAUUUAACCUCACAAAUGAUAUAACUUGGAGUUUUAAUAAAGAUAGAAGGUUAUGACAGCUGGCAAAGUUGUCAGCUGAUACUUGUUUAACCUGGAAAAAUGGUGGUAAUGGAAAGUCGACAAACAUGCUCACCGAUGCAAAUUUUCAAAAAAAAACUAAGCGUCAAUUUUAACAGAGAAAGAUAACCAUUUGCUUGACAAAAUAGACUAUACCAUCACUUCACUUGUUUUUAAGAAAAUGACACCAAUGUAGAGCGGAAAUAAAACAUUUCAAGUGUUCUACAAUUUUCUAUCAUUUUAAGGCUGAAAAAUGUACUUCAACAACAACUUCAUUUUCCAUUUUUUAUUCUUUCGAUACUUUCUGCCACGCACAUCUCUGCUUUGAAUGAUAGCAACUUUUUGUCGAGGACGUCAAAAUAUACAUAUUAUACUCUGCCCCCAUCAAACAACGUCCAUUUCCCAAAGA